GACGAACGCUGGCGGCGUGCUUAACACAUGCCAGUCGAACGGAAAGGCCCUGCUUUUGUGGGGUGCUCGAGUGGCGAACGGGUGAGUAACACGUGAGUAACCUGCCCUUGACUUUGGGAUAACUUCAGAAAACUGGGGCUAAUACCGGAUAGGAGCUCUUGCUGCAGGGUGGGGGUUGGAAAGUUUCGGCGGUUGGGGAUGGACUCGCGGCUUAUCAGCUUGUUGGUGGGGUAGUGGCUUACCAAGGCUUUGACGGGUAGCCGGCCUGAGAGGGUGACCGGCCACAUUGGGACUGAGAUACGGCCCAGACUCCUACGGGAGGCAGCAGUGGGGAAUAUUGCACAAUGGGCGGAAGCCUGAUGCAGCAACGCCGCGUGCGGGAUGACGGCCUUCGGGUUGUAAACCGCUUUCGCCUGUGACGAAGCGUGAGUGACGGUAAUGGGUAAAGAAGCACCGGCUAACUACGUG
rnacentral:rRNA from 1 species